GUAAUUGCACUUUGUCUCUUUCCAUUCCCCAGUCCCAAAUCUGAAGAACUCCGCACGGGAAGAAGAGAUGUCGAGCUCCAAGGCCGCCGAGCUCCAAGGCUUCUCCAACGAACAGAUUGACUUGUUACUGCAUGCCCAACGAGAGAGAAUGGCUGACGCUGCUUGUGGAGAGAUGGUUUGCAGAAUUUGUCUGAGCCCUUGCAACCGCUAGAGCAAGGGAAGCGGCAUCAGCAUGUACCUCUGGAAGGAGUUCAAAAACACAUGGCAACGCAUGGGCACGACGGAGACAAUAGAAAUGCAGAACGCAGAGCCCUGAACACGACAGAGACAAUGGAGAAGGCAGAGAUCAGUGUCUUGAAGAUCGAGAGUUAGAAGAGAGACGAUAUCACGUUUUGCUCUUUUGAAGAAGAAUUUUUUUGGCAGCUUGCAACAAACUUCUUGUAACCACAUGGCUGCCGCCGUUUGGCUCGCGAGGAGGCGGGGCAACAGUCGGGACAAAGGCACAACAUCGUCACGUGCCCGCACAAAGUCGUGAAGUUGCUCGAAGGAGCCUUUCAGCAAGGCCAUCGCCUGCUCAGGGUGCAGUCUGGGUGCUUCGGGUAUGGAGUGGAGGAAGGAUGGGGGCAAGAUGGGAAGAGGUAGAGGAUUAGCAAUCAACGUGCAUGAAACGUGUGGUUUUAUGGCUUGCUGCUAAUACAAGGGAGAAGGAGAACGAUGUGUGUGGCCCUACGGCACACGUGUUAAACAUAGAAGCCGGUGGACACAACAUGAUAAUCCGCUGGCCGACAGGAAUCAUUUUCCUUCUAAUAACCAGUUGUAAGAUUGAUAAACCUAGACAGAGAGAUCGAACGGCAAAGGCAAUUGGGAGGAUGGGGCGAGAUGGGAAGAGGUAGAGGAUGAGGAAUCAAUUGGGAUGGAACGCGUGAAUGUGGCUUGCUGCUAGGAUAUGAACGAUGCGCCUCCCUAUAGGACACGUGUUAAGCAUAAAAGCUGACGGACAUAGCAUGAUCUU